rnacentral:rRNA from 1 species
GGGUUGUGAGGUUAAGCGACUAAGCGUACACGGUGGAUGCCCUGGCAGUCAGAGGCGAUGAAGGACGUGCUAAUCUGCGAUAAGCGUCGGUAAGGUGAUAUGAACCGUUAUAACCGGCGAUUUCCGAAUGGGGAAACCCAGUGUGAUUCGUCACACUAUCAUUAACUGAAUCCAUAGGUUAAUGAGGCGAACCGGGGGAACUGAAACAUCUAAGUACCCCGAGGAAAAGAAAUCAACCGAGAUUCCCCCAGUAGCGGCGAGCGAACGGGGAGCAGCCCAGAGCCUGAAUCAGUGUGUGUGUUAGUGGAAGCGUCUGGAAAGGCGCGCGAUACAGGGUGACAGCCCCGUACACAAAAAUGCACAUGCUGUGAGCUCGAUGAGUAGGGCGGGACACGUGGUAUCCUGUCUGAAUAUGGGGGGACCAUCCUCCAAGGCUAAAUACUCCUGACUGACCGAUAGUGAACCAGUACCGUGAGGGAAAGGCGAAAAGAACCCCGGCGAGGGGAGUGAAAAAGAACCUGAAACCGUGUACGUACAAGCAGUGGGAGCACGCUUAGGCGUGUGACUGCGUACCUUUUGUAUAAUGGGUCAGCGACUUAUAUUCUGUAGCAAGGUUAACCGAAUAGGGGAGCCGAAGGGAAACCGAGUCUUAACUGGGCGUUAAGUUGCAGGGUAUAGACCCGAAACCCGGUGAUCUAGCCAUGGGCAGGUUGAAGGUUGGGUAACACUAACUGGAGGACCGAACCGACUAAUGUUGAAAAAUUAGCGGAUGACUUGUGGCUGGGGGUGAAAGGCCAAUCAAACCGGGAGAUAGCUGGUUCUCCCCGAAAGCUAUUUAGGUAGCGCCUCGUGAAUUCAUCUCCGGGGGUAGAGCACUGUUUCGGCAAGGGGGUCAUCCCGACUUACCAACCCGAUGCAAACUGCGAAUACCGGAGAAUGUUAUCACGGGAGACACACGGCGGGUGCUAACGUCCGUCGUGAAGAGGGAAACAACCCAGACCGCCAGCUAAGGUCCCAAAGUCAUGGUUAAGUGGGAAACGAUGUGGGAAGGCCCAGACAGCCAGGAUGUUGGCUUAGAAGCAGCCAUCAUUUAAAGAAAGCGUAAUAGCUCACUGGUCGAGUCGGCCUGCGCGGAAGAUGUAACGGGGCUAAACCAUGCACCGAAGCUGCGGCAGCGACGCUUAUGCGUUGUUGGGUAGGGGAGCGUUCUGUAAGCCUGUGAAGGUGUACUGUGAGGUAUGCUGGAGGUAUCAGAAGUGCGAAUGCUGACAUAAGUAACGAUAAAGCGGGUGAAAAGCCCGCUCGCCGGAAGACCAAGGGUUCCUGUCCAACGUUAAUCGGGGCAGGGUGAGUCGACCCCUAAGGCGAGGCCGAAAGGCGUAGUCGAUGGGAAACAGGUUAAUAUUCCUGUACUUGGUGUUACUGCGAAGGGGGGACGGAGAAGGCUAUGUUGGCCGGGCGACGGUUGUCCCGGUUUAAGCGUGUAGGCUGGUUUUCCAGGCAAAUCCGGAAAAUCAAGGCUGAGGCGUGAUGACGAGGCACUACGGUGCUGAAGCAACAAAUGCCCUGCUUCCAGGAAAAGCCUCUAAGCAUCAGGUAACAUCAAAUCGUACCCCAAACCGACACAGGUGGUCAGGUAGAGAAUACCAAGGCGCUUGAGAGAACUCGGGUGAAGGAACUAGGCAAAAUGGUGCCGUAACUUCGGGAGAAGGCACGCUGAUAUGUAGGUGAAGUCCCUCGCGGAUGGAGCUGAAAUCAGUCGAAGAUACCAGCUGGCUGCAACUGUUUAUUAAAAACACAGCACUGUGCAAACACGAAAGUGGACGUAUACGGUGUGACGCCUGCCCGGUGCCGGAAGGUUAAUUGAUGGGGUCAGCGCAAGCGAAGCUCUUGAUCGAAGCCCCGGUAAACGGCGGCCGUAACUAUAACGGUCCUAAGGUAGCGAAAUUCCUUGUCGGGUAAGUUCCGACCUGCACGAAUGGCGUAAUGAUGGCCAGGCUGUCUCCACCCGAGACUCAGUGAAAUUGAACUCGCUGUGAAGAUGCAGUGUACCCGCGGCAAGACGGAAAGACCCCGUGAACCUUUACUAUAGCUUGACACUGAACAUUGAGCCUUGAUGUGUAGGAUAGGUGGGAGGCUUUGAAGUGUGGACGCCAGUCUGCAUGGAGCCGACCUUGAAAUACCACCCUUUAAUGUUUGAUGUUCUAACGUGGACCCGUAAUCCGGGUUGCGGACAGUGUCUGGUGGGUAGUUUGACUGGGGCGGUCUCCUCCUAAAGAGUAACGGAGGAGCACGAAGGUUGGCUAAUCCUGGUCGGACAUCAGGAGGUUAGUGCAAUGGCAUAAGCCAGCUUGACUGCGAGCGUGACGGCGCGAGCAGGUGCGAAAGCAGGUCAUAGUGAUCCGGUGGUUCUGAAUGGAAGGGCCAUCGCUCAACGGAUAAAAGGUACUCCGGGGAUAACAGGCUGAUACCGCCCAAGAGUUCAUAUCGACGGCGGUGUUUGGCACCUCGAUGUCGGCUCAUCACAUCCUGGGGCUGAAGUAGGUCCCAAGGGUAUGGCUGUUCGCCAUUUAAAGUGGUACGCGAGCUGGGUUUAGAACGUCGUGAGACAGUUCGGUCCCUAUCUGCCGUGGGCGCUGGAGAACUGAGGGGGGCUGCUCCUAGUACGAGAGGACCGGAGUGGACGCAUCACUGGUGUUCGGGUUGUCAUGCCAAUGGCACUGCCCGGUAGCUAAAUGCGGAAGAGAUAAGUGCUGAAAGCAUCUAAGCACGAAACUUGCCCCGAGAUGAGUUCUCCCUGACUCCUUGAGAGUCCUGAAGGAACGUUGAAGACGACGACGUUGAUAGGCCGGGUGUGUAAGCGCAGCGAUGCGUUGAGCUAACCGGUACUAAUGAACCGUGAGGCUUAACCUUACAACGCCGAAGCUGUU